rnacentral:rRNA from 1 species
GGCGCUGCUAUACAUGCAGUCGAACGCUUCUUUUUCCACCGGAGCUUGCUCCACCGGAAAAAGAGGAGUGGCGAACGGGUGAGUAACACGUGGGUAACCUGCCCAUCAGAAGGGGAUAACACUUGGAAACAGGUGCUAAUACCGUAUAACAAUCGAAACCGCAUGGUUUUGAUUUGAAAGGCGCUUUCGGGUGUCGCUGAUGGAUGGACCCGCGGUGCAUUAGCUAGUUGGUGAGGUAACGGCUCACCAAGGCGACGAUGCAUAGCCGACCUGAGAGGGUGAUCGGCCACAUUGGGACUGAGACACGGCCCAAACUCCUACGGGAGGCAGCAGUAGGGAAUCUUCGGCAAUGGACGAAAGUCUGACCGAGCAACGCCGCGUGAGUGAAGAAGGUUUUCGGAUCGUAAAACUCUGUUGUUAGAGAAGAACAAGGAUGAGAGUAACUGUUCAUCCCUUGACGGUAUCUAACCAGAAAGCCACGGCUAACUACGUGCCAGCAGCCGCGGUAAUACGUAGGUGGCAAGCGUUGUCCGGAUUUAUUGGGCGUAAAGCGAGCGCAGGCGGUUUCUUAAGUCUGAUGUGAAAGCCCCCGGCUCAACCGGGGAGGGUCAUUGGAAACUGGGAGACUUGAGUGCAGAAGAGGAGAGUGGAAUUCCAUGUGUAGCGGUGAAAUGCGUAGAUAUAUGGAGGAACACCAGUGGCGAAGGCGGCUCUCUGGUCUGUAACUGACGCUGAGGCUCGAAAGCGUGGGGAGCAAACAGGAUUAGAUACCCUGGUAGUCCACGCCGUAAACGAUGAGUGCUAAGUGUUGGAGGGUUUCCGCCCUUCAGUGCUGCAGCUAACGCAUUAAGCACUCCGCCUGGGGAGUACGACCGCAAGGUUGAAACUCAAAGGAAUUGACGGGGGCCCGCACAAGCGGUGGAGCAUGUGGUUUAAUUCGAAGCAACGCGAAGAACCUUACCAGGUCUUGACAUCCUUUGACCACUCUAGAGAUAGAGCUUCCCCUUCGGGGGCAAAGUGACAGGUGGUGCAUGGUUGUCGUCAGCUCGUGUCGUGAGAUGUUGGGUUAAGUCCCGCAACGAGCGCACCCCUUAUUGGUAGUUGCCAUCCUUUAUUUGGGGAUCUUACCAAGAAGGCCGGUGACAAACCGGAGGAAAGGUGGGAGAUAACAUCCAGAUCAUCAUG